rnacentral:rRNA from 1 species
CACGUAGGGCGCAAGCGUUUGUCCGGAAUUAUUGGGCGUAAAGAGCUCGUAGGCGGUCCGUCACGUCCGCUGUGAAAACCCAGGGCUCAACCCUGGGCUUGCAGUGGAUACGGGCAGACUAGAGGUAGGUAGGGGGAGAAUGGAAUUCCCGGUGUAGCGGUGAAAUGCGCAGAUAUCGGGAGGAACACCGGUGGCGAAGGCGGUUCUCUGGGCCUUACCUGACGCUGAGGAGCGAAGCGUGGGGAGCGAACAGG